rnacentral:rRNA from 1 species
AUACAUGCAAGUAGAACGCUGAAGCUUGGUGCUUGCACCGAGCGGAAGAGUUGCGAACGGGUGAGUAACGCGUAGGUAACCUGCCUCUUAGCGGGGGAUAACUAUUGGAAACGAUAGCUAAUACCGCAUAAAAGUCGGCAUUGCAUGAUGUUGACUUGAAAGGUGCAACUGCAUCACUAAGAGAUGGACCUGCGUUGUAUUAGCUAGUUGGUGAGGUAACGGCUCACCAAGGCGACGAUACAUAGCCGACCUGAGAGGGUGAUCGGCCACACUGGGACUGAGACACGGCCCAGACUCCUACGGGAGGCAGCAGUAGGGAAUCUUCGGCAAUGGACGGAAGUCUGACCGAGCAACGCCGCGUGAGUGAAGAAGGUUUUCGGAUCGUAAAGCUCUGUUGUAAGAGAAGAACGAGUGUGAGAGUGGAAAGUUCACACUGUGACGGUAACUUACCAGAAAGGGACGGCUAACUACGUGCCAGCAGCCGCGGUAAUACGUAGGUCCCGAGCGUUAUCCGGAUUUAUUGGGCGUAAAGCGAGCGCAGGCGGUUAGAUAAGUCUGAAGUUAAAGGCUGUGGCUUAACCAUAGUACGCUUUGGAAACUGUUUAACUUGAGUGCAGAAGGGGAGAGUGGAAUUCCAUGUGUGGCGGUGAAAUGCGUAGAUAUAUGGAGGAACACCGGUGGCGAAAGCGG